GUUGCGCAGUAAUUGAUAUAUCACGCGCUUUGACGAAUUACGCAAAAUAUUCCUAACAACUAAAUUAUGACAUAAGUUUCCGUGCUUAAAUAUUUCUUUGAAAUCGAUUGUCAAAACAUGAAAAAUAGUGAAACAAGAAGUUGGAAAUUUUUCUCAAUUCGUCUGCGUUUUUCAUUCAUAAGAAAUCUUUAAUUGUUAGUACUUAUGUACAAGUGGCAAUGUAGGCAGAUGAAUCAUAAUUUUAUGAUCAUAAUAGGGUAAUUCCCAUGUCCAGCUUCCUUAUACAAGUAUAUAAAAAGGUCGAAUGCUUAUAGCUGAACAAUUAAAGAAAAACAAUUGAAGAGUUAACAUUGUAAACCAGAUAGGGCACAGACAUUGACGAAAGAAAGGAAAAGAACUAAAGCAAAAACUACUAACUGAUAAAUAUUCAGGAAAAAAUGGCUUCUACAAAAAUAAUACUUUUCGUUGGAUUGAUUGUUUUGGCAGCUAUUUUUGAGUGCGGACACAGUAUGAAACGCCAAAGGCUGUGCAGAAUGAACAGAGUAUCUGGUACAUGUAACGAUAUUGUAAUGAGAAAUGUUGGUAGUUCACCCAUGGCUGCAGGACGCUGCGCACAGAAAGGCGGCACGUGCGAAAUCCUACCAACACGAAGGAGGGCUAUGUGCGCUUGUGCUAUCAUGUUUGACGUUUAGGUUCAAUUUACAUAUAAAAUUAGGUUGUGAGUUAAUAAAGUCUGAACAACAAAAUGCCGAAAAAAUUACUUACACUUUAGUAUGUCAAAAAGCAUUCAGGAAAUACAUCGUUCGAGAAUACUUAUUGUGAAAAAUUGUUUGACUGUUACUUACGCUAAAUAAAUUUAAAUGAGAUAUAUUAUGAUCAUAAAGAAGUAACAUGAACACAUCUGCUUGAAGUCAAUUCCCUAAAACGGGAAAAUUUAUUACGAUUAUAUUUAUUUUAUAAUAUAUAUGUGGUGUAGAUUUGCUUCUCAAAACUUGAUAUAAGAUAGUUUGUAUUAUUACAUGUCGAAUGUUUUGCACUGUGAUACAAUGUUAUUAAAAGUAAAAAUCCCCAGGCAUACAUUCCAAUGUCUAAUACUUUUACCGUAGUAACUUAUUUGUUUAUUUCCGAACCUGUUUUUAGAUUCAUGUAUCUAUUUGUCUAUACAUUUGUUCUUUUCUUUUUUGUUGACGCCUGAUAAUGUGAGUUUACAUAUGUUCGUCAUGUUGUGAAAUGUAUUUAUUUCUUUUGUUCCCAUGUGCUCUGUAUUGUUUAGUUAAGCGCUUUACAUGUUAUGUUAAAACGCUUUACAAGAGAAUGAAAGGCGAAAAUAGUAAAGCGUGAGUUUUUUUUUUUCAAACAAAUAAAUUUGAUAAUUCUA